UUCUCCUGGAAAACGGGUGGUAAUGCCGGAUGCUCCAGUUGGAUGCAUGUCCUUCUGGGAAAGAUUCAUCGGUAUGGGAUGGGGUCGCGUCCUAUCAGCUUGAUGGCGGGGUAACGGCCCACCAUGGCUUCGACGGGUAGCCGGCCUGAGAGGGCGACCGGCCACAUUGGGACUGAGAUACGGCCCAGACUCCUACGGGAGGCAGCAGUGGGGAAUAUUGCACAAUGGGCGCAAGCCUGAUGCAGCGACGCCGCGUGCGGGAUGACGGCCUUCGGGUUGUAAACCGCUUUUGACUGGGAGCAAGCCCUUCGGGGUGAGUGUACCUUUCGAAUAAGCACCGGCUAACUACGUGCCAGCAGCCGCGGUAAUACGUAGGGUGCAAGCGUUAUCCGGAAUUAUUGGGCGUAAAGGGCUCGUAGGCGGUUCGUCGCGUCCGGUGUGAAAGUCCAUCGCUUAACGGUGGAUCCGCGCCGGGUACGGGCGGGCUUGAGUGCGGUAGGGGAGACUGGAAUUCCCGGUGUAACGGUGGAAUGUGUAGAUAUCG
rnacentral:rRNA from 1 species